GAAGAAAGAGGGAGGAGGGAGGAACACAGGCAAGUCGAACGGAAAGGCCCUGCUUUUGUGGGGUGCUCGAGUGGCGAACGGGUGAGUAACACGUGAGUAACCUGCCCUUGACUUUGGGAUAACUUCAGGAAACUGGGGCUAAUACCGGAUAGGAGCUCCUGCUGCAUGGUGGGGGUUGGAAAGUUUCGGCGGUUGGGGAUGGACUCGCGGCUUAUCAGCUUGUUGGUGGGGUAGUGGCUUACCAAGGCUUUGACGGGUAGCCGGCCUGAGAGGGUGACCGGCCACAUUGGGACUGAGAUACGGCCCAGACUCCUACGGGAGGCAGCAGUGGGGAAUAUUGCACAAUGGGCGGAAGCCUGAUGCAGCAACGCCGCGUGCGGGAUGACGGCCUUCGGGUUGUAAACCGCUUUCGCCUGUGACGAAGCGUGAGUGACGGUAAUGGGUAAAGAAGCACCGGCUCACUACGUC
rnacentral:rRNA from 1 species